rnacentral:rRNA from 1 species
CGAAAUGCGAUACUUGUUGUAAAUUGCAGAAUCCCGUGAACCAUCAAGUUUUUGAACGCAAGUUGCGCCCGAUACCUUUAGGUUGAGGGCACGUCUGCCUGGGCGUCACACACAGCGUCG